rnacentral:rRNA from 1 species
UAGGGAAUCUUCGGCAAUGGGGGGCAACCCUGACCGAGCAACGCCGCGUGAGUGAAGAAGGUUUUCGGAUCGUAAAGCUCUGUUGUAAGUCAAGAACGAGUGUGAGAGUGGAAAGUUCACACUGUGACGGUAGCUUACCAGAAAGGGACGGCUAACUACGUGCCAGCAGCCGCGGUAAUACGUAGGUCCCGAGCGUUGUCCGGAUUUAUUGGGCGUAAAGCGAGCGCAGGCGGUUUGAUAAGUCUGAAGUUAAAGGCUGUGGCUCAACCAUAGUUCGCUUUGGAAACUGUCAAACUUGAGUGCAGAAGGGGAGAGUGGAAUUUCAUGUGUAGCGGUGAAAUGCGUAGAUAUAUGGAGGAACACCGGUGGCGAAAGCGGCUCUCUGGUCUGUAACUGACGCUGAGGCUCGAAAGCGUGGGGAGCGAACAGGAUUAGAUACCCUGGUAGUCCACGCCGUNNCGAUGAGUGCUAGGUGUUGGAUCCUUUCCGGGAUUCAGUGCCGCAGCUAACGCAUUAAGCACUCCGCCUGGGGAGUACGACCGCAAGGUU